CGGGCGGUGGCGGUGGCGGGAGCCGUUGGGCUGAGUCGGGAUCGGGGACGUCGCCCGAGAGCGGGGACGAGGAGGUGUCGGGCGCGGGUUCGAGCCCGGUGUCGGGCGGCGUGAACUUGUUCGCCAACGACGGCAGCUUCCUGGAGCUGUUCAAGCGGAAGAUGGAGGAGGAGCAGCGGCAGCGGCAGGAGGAGCCGCCCCCGGGUCCGCAGCGACCCGACCAGUCGGCCGCCGCCGCUGGCCCCGGGGAUCCGAAGAGGAAGGGCGGUCCGGGCUCCACACUUAGCUUCGUCGGCCGGCUGGCGGAGCUGGGCGCGGCGUCAGGACGGGCCACCAGGCCGGGCUAGGAAGGUGUAGUGGGCCUCAGCGCCGCCAAGGGCGGUCCCGGCUCCUGUAACCGUUGCAGUCUUCUGUCCCUUCACCCAGGUGGGCAAACGCAGAGGCGGGAACAAACUAGCCCUCAAGACGGGAAUAGUAGCCAAGAAGCAGAAGACGGAGGAUGAGGUGAGCCAGCUUGGUGCAGGGGGUCCACCCACAUUGCCUUUCCCUUCCAGCUUUUGCGCCCAGCCUUCUCCCUCCCUGUCUGGUAUCCAGGCCUUUUAUGAGUGUGCCUGGCAGGGUAGGAGGGCUGUCAAUGGGUCCCCAGAUAACUUGACUUUAUAAUCUUCAGCUCAAACCCAGAGUCUUCUGGGUGACACUGGGAAUGGGUCACCUGUCUCAGGGCAGUCCUGACCCUGGUUCCUGGCACCCCCGUCCUAACCCGUAUCCCCUUUCCACAGGUAUUAACAAGUAAAGGUGACGCGUGGGCCAAGUACAUGGCAGAAGUGAAAAAGUACAAAGCUCACCAGUGCGGUGACGAUGAUAAAACUCGGCCCCUGGUGAAAUGACGCCCCUCCCCCACCUGCCCAUGGCCUGGGACUCUCUGCGAUGUACAUAACUAUUUAAUGCAGCGGCAGCGGCGACAGCCUUCCCUGAGAGGACUUAAAAGCAGAAGGAAACCGAGAUGCUUCCCGCAGCCGUGGACGAUUCUCCAGGACUCUUUUUUUACCUUGAGCACUUGCCUCGUGAGACUUCAUAGAACAGUGGUUUACUGUCCCCCCCUUCUCACCUCCUCAUUCUCUCUGGCUCUUUCUGUCUUCCUCUUCUCACCCUCCUCCCUCCCCUUAGCCAUCACUUCUGGGAAGUAAAGAACUUGACUU
rnacentral:lncRNA from 1 species